rnacentral:rRNA from 1 species
AUUGAACGCUGGCGGCAUGCCCUACACAUGCAAGUCGAACGGCAGCACGGGAGCAAUCCUGGUGGCGAGUGGCGAACGGGUGAGUAAUACAUCGGAACGUGCCCAGUUGUGGGGGAUAGCCCGGCGAAAGCCGGAUUAAUACCGCAUACGACCUACGGGUGAAAGCGGGGGAUCGCAAGACCUCGCGCUAUUGGAGCGGCCGAUGUCGGAUUAGCUAGUUGGUGGGGUAAAAGCCUACCAAGGCUACGAUCGGUAGCUGGUCUGAGAGGACGACCAGCCACACUGGGACUGAGACACGGCCCAGACUCCUACGGGAGGCAGCAGUGGGGAAUUUUGGACAAUGGGCGCAAGCCUGAUCCAGCCAUGCCGCGUGCGGGAAGAAGGCCUUCGGGUUGUAAACCGCUCUUGUCAGGGAAGAAACGGUUUGGGCUAAUACCCCGAACUAAUGACGGUACCUGAAGAAUAAGCACCGGCUAACUACGUGCCAGCAGCCGCCGUAAAAC